ncrna:unclassified sequences DTF3800-IX RNA
UCCCGCCCACCGAAAAGUCACCGGAUGGUGACCUGCCAGGAAAUCCUGGCUAGGUGGGCGGGUUUGU